GUCACCAUGAUUCCUAGCAUAUAGAUGGGUGCAAAUACGAAACUAAGACACGUGGUCAGUUGCUGAAGAAAUUCCGGUGAAAACAUGCAUGGUCCAGCAAAAGGUCUGUAGCUGAGAGGGAAGGUGGAUGGCCCCAUAUGAGAGUGGGAUUAUACCCGACGAAUGGUUAAUAGGCAUUGUAAAGCCAAUUUUCAAAAACAAAGGCGACCCAACGAAACCUGAAAACUACCGUCCAAUAACACUGUUAAGUUGUCUUGAACUUCAAAUCACCAACUCCCAGUAGAGACUGGAAGAUGGUGUGGCACUCCUAAAGACGAAAGAACUUGCCAUAUCUGUAAUACGGGUCAGAUAGCUGACGAAUAUCAUUUUAUCCUUGAAUAUGUCCAUGCACAGUUUGGUGAAAAUAUGGCACAAAAUAUGAUGAUGAUGUCCCUAUUCAACAACAAGAACUCUGGCGGAGGGAUGGGUAUGAAUCCCCUAUUAAUGGCGUCAAUGCUAAAUGGUGGUGGCGGCGCUAAAAUGGAUAAACUCCUGAUGUUGAGUUUACUGGGUGGAAUGGGCGGCGGUGGAAAUAGUGCAUCUACAGCAGCCAGGGGAUGAUGAAAUAUCUGUUGUUUUAGCUCAUUGUCUGUGAAAUAAAUGUUGUCAUAUUUAUAGUCCCAAAAUAGUUGUUUUGCAUAUUGUUAUAAACGAUGGUCUCACAAACACACAUGUACAGGCAGUGAUUUUUUUUUACGUACAUGUAAAUUCCUCAGCUGCAUUUUAUGGUCUGGUAGUAGUGAUGUAUUAUCUCGAGCACCCACAUCGGACACAGAUUAACCUAAAGAAGCGCAUUGUCACAAGCCUUUACUAACUGACAUCACCAACAUCCCAACGGCAAGUUUGGCUGACAAUUGUAAUGAUAUCUAUAUUUUGUCUCUG